UACGGGGGGGGCAAGCGUUGUUCGGAAUUACUGGGCGUAAAGCGUGCGCAGACGGUUGCGUAAGUCAGAUGUGAAAGCCCCGGGCUCAACCUGGGAAUUGCAUUUGAGACUGCGUAGCUAGGGUGCGGAAGAGGGAAGCGGAAUUUCCGGUGUAGCGGUGAAAUGCGUAGAUAUCGGAAGGAACACCAGUGGCGAAAGCGGCUUCCUGGUCCAGCACCGACGUCAGGCACGAAAGCGUGGGGAGCAAACAGG
rnacentral:rRNA from 1 species